CCAGCAGCCGCGGUAAUACAAGGGGAGCAAGCGUUAUCCGGAAUGAUUGGGCGUAAAGCGUCUGUAGGUGGUUUGUAAAGUCUGCUGUCAAAAACCAGGGCUCAACCUUGGGAAGGCAUCAGAAACUCACAAACUCGAGUGUGGUAGGGGUAGAGGGAACUCUUUAUGGAGCGGUGAAAUGCGUAGAGAUAAGGAGGAACACCAGCGGCGAAGGCGCUCUACUGGGCCGAUACUGACACUGAGAGACGAAAGCUAAGGGAGUGAAUAGGAUUAGAGACCCUAGUAAUCUUAGCUGUAAACGAUGGAAACUAAGGAUUGCCAAAAGCAGUCCUGUAGCUAACGCGUUAAGUUUCCCGCCUGGGGAGUAUGCUCGCAAGAGUGAAACUUAAAGGAAUUGGCGGGGGAU
rnacentral:rRNA from 1 species